UCAGCUCUCACUACCUUUUUCGUUCGAAUCCCUCUAUCUUUCAUCCAUUUUUAUUGGUUCUCAAUCGUUAUUUCCCCUCUCCCUCAAUCUGUUUUUCGUGAGUGUAUGUGUGUGGUUUCGUGUAGAGCGUGAGAGUGAUGUGAGAUGUGUGCGCUAAUGGUGGAGAGAUUGGUUUUGUGAGGUGUCGUGUGGUGUUAAUGGUGGA
rnacentral:lncRNA from 1 species